GGGGCCUCGGCCGCGUGGUGGGGCUGAGCAGCUCGUGCGGGGCUGCAGGGAAUGGCGGCGAUAAAGACAAAAGGAGAAAGCUAGGUGGUUUCCCACUACCACCUCUUUUGGGAUCAUGGAAAGUGAUGAAAUCAGCAUUGGAGCUGUUAUCUCUAUCUCUUCGUGUUGAUAAAGCUGUGAUAAAGCAUGAGGAAAUAACUCUGAAAGAACCAUUUCUCUUCAUCCCAAAUUUUCAAGGAUCACCUUACAAACUGAACAGGCAUGUUAAUAAGAGGGACUUAAUUAGCAGUGUAGCUCUAAAACACUUGGAAGAUCUUAAGAAUGAAAGAAAAGUAGUUCACAAUAAAUAAUGUAAAAAU